UACGUAGGGUGCAAGCGUUGUCCGGAAUUAUUGGGCGUAAAGAGCUCGUAGGCGGCUCGUCGCGUCGGCUGUGAAAACCUGGGGCUCAACCCCGGGCCUGCAGCCGAUACGGGCGAGCUAGAAUUCGGUAGGGGAGACUGGAAUUCCUGGUGUAGCGGUGAAAUGCGCAGAUAUCAGGAGGAACACCAAUUGCGAAGGCAGCUCGCUGGAACGUAACUGACGCUGAGACGCGAAAGCGUGGGGAGCAAACAGG
rnacentral:rRNA from 1 species